GAAAUUUAUCUUUCCUGCAGAGUGUGAGAGCAUUGGGUAUAUUUGAGUUAUGAGAAAGUGAGUUUUCUUUACUCAAAUAUUUGUACUCUAUUAAUUGUUAAAUAAACAAUUAUUCUUUCUUGCCUCCGUGGAUGUAGGUUUAAUUACCGAACCACGUAAAAUUUGUGUCCUUUAUUUUUCAGUAAUUAUUUGGUGCGCUUAAUUCCGCAUUCCGCGCACAACAAGUGGUAUCAGAGCCGACGGUUCGUACUUGGGGGAUACGAUACUAUUCAC
rnacentral:lncRNA from 1 species